CUUAGUUAAAAUAGCAGGUUUAACAUCAUCCCUCUCAUCUCAUUAACUAUCUCCAUUCUCCUCACAGCCACCAGAAACGACCUUCAACCACCUGGAAAACACCAUGGCAGCCAGCAGCUCCAAAUGGCAAGCAACAAACCACAAGAUCUCCACUAAAAUCGACUCCAAACUACUGUUCUCAUAGCUCUGAGUAGCGAGCUAAACUAGCCCCCGAACAAUCUGUUCGAAAAAUAACUCCGACCACUGUCAGUCAUUAUUCCUUUUCCAUCUCCCCUUUUAAAAAUUUUCCUUUGUUUUGCAAGUACUUCAGUGAGCUAUGAGCUCUUAUUCCAGCGACCAACGAAUCCGGCGAACAAUUAGCUGACCCAAAACCACCGGAAAUAACUGCAGAACCACCGGACAACAAGACCCCGACUCCCUUCACCCUCUUUGCCAGAAAACUUGAGCUCGAAGCUCCAAAUGCCCACACACAGAGCAAUUAAAAACACGACUACUUCGUGAUUCCAAAUAGGCCCAGCAACGACAAUACUCCGAUGCAGGAAACCCAAUCAACAUCCAACGCCUUGUUGAUCGAGUUGAGCACUCGGGGUCAGUGAUGAGCCUCCUUGUAUUCCAGAGGACACUUUCAAUGUGUUUUCUAAUAUUUCAUUUAUAGGAUGGUGUGGGGUCUGUCCCAACAUCCAACUAGUAUAUUAGAGUCAGAUAAUUCACUUUUGGGUCUCUCCUUAUUCAGAGAUGUUUCAUAUUGAUACUUGAGUGUCGUUUUGGCCAGACUAAUAUAAUUGAGUAUUUCUCUUGA